rnacentral:lncRNA from 1 species
AAGAAAAGAGGGGGAGCCCUUCUCAAACCCUAAGCAACGAAUUGGAAGGAUUCUGGCCGAAAUCGAACCUGCAUGAACCUUAAUAGUGAUAAUCUAAGCAAGAUGUAACCAAGGUAUGUAAGUGAUGUAUUCACGAAGGUUGGAGUCCUGGUGUACUGAACGAAUUCGAAGGACGUACUAUUGGGGAACGUGUCAAGGAGAGCUCAAGCAUAGGAGGAUAACGGGUCAAGAUAAGGCAAGGUGAUAAAUACACUUAUUGGAGUACUCAAGGUAAGUGAUUUCCGUAGUCACUUCUUAGUUUGUUUAAGUAAUACAAUGCUUUAUUUAAUUAGGCAUGAUGUUUGAUGUCAAUUAUGUGUUGAAGUCUUUCAUUGUGCAUAAUGGGAAUAAGGUUGAUUAAAACGCCCUUGAUGGGUAUGUUGGGCGAACAAUCUUAAAAGUAGACUAUAAGGAAGCUAUUCGAUUAGUGUAAUGGUUAUGGUCUAGUGUGAAAAUGUGGAGUAUGGCUUUGUAUGUCAUAAACCACUUAAUGCGUAAAUACCCAUAACGGGUCAAAAUAAGCUUUUGAGCGAUAAUGCGCUAAGAGUAGGCAAGACAUCCAAGAAUUCAAUCCUUUAUGAUAAAUAAUGUUGAUAUUAAAAGGCUUAUGAGGAGUCGAGGUUAAAUAGUCAGAUUAUUUCUAAUAAAUGCAAGAACGGGUCAAAACUUGUAAAAAGGUAGUGAGUCGAUGGUGCGUAAGAUAAGAAUUUUCUUAAUCCGGGUAUGGGUUUUCAAGUUUAUAUGAUAGAUUGUGAAUUUACAAGCAUGUAGGAAGAAACGGGAGGUUAAACGGACAAUCGGGUUAAAAGUUAUGCGAGUUUUCGUGUGUUCGAACGAUAAAAACAACACAGCAUGAAAACCAGCAUUUGAGAGGCCGUCGCCGACGCCCCUAGGGCCGUCGCCGACGCCUCAUGCAAAACCAGUUUUCUCCGACGCUCUAAUUUGCUGUCUACGGACCCUCACCCGACGGACAAAACUAGAGGGCGUCGCCGACGGUCCGAUGAGGCGUCGGCGACGGUGCCUCUGUUCCUGAUUUCUGUUUUCGCCGUUACGCGCUCCCGGGUGAUCUUGUUUUCGACCCGUUGCUUCGUAAAGUUUCCAAAGGGCUUCGUAAACUUUGUCAGACUUAAGAAAGCACCAACCUUAUUAAAUAGGUAACUAAGAACUCAAGUUCAUGUGAGGGUGUGGAUCUAUAGACAAAUAAAUUAUGUGGUCGAAUGUGUUAGAGCGUGUUAUACGGGUGAGAAGAUAAAACUUGUUCAUAAGGAUGCUUAUAGAUAAAUUAUUGCGCGUGAUUAAAGUACAAUGAUUGAAGGUGGUUGGGUGAGUAUGACUCGAAUGCUCGUAUGGAGGCAUAUGAUUGUAGAGUGUAAGAGUUAGUUACUAAUGUUUAUGUGAAGAUGUAAGUUUUCAAUACAUUGGGGAAUAAGCGUUGCUAACUGUUUUGCUUUCGAGAAUGGUCUUAGAAAUGCAGGUAUGUAAGUGAUGUAUUCACGAAGGUUGGAGUCCUGGUGUACUGAACGAAUUCGAAGGACGUACUAUUGGGGUUCCAUUCAUUGAUAGAAGGCUAUGUGAUCAUUAGUUACUAUGGAAUUGUUUAAAGUGUAUAGUGUUACCAUUUCACUAACAUGUUGGUUAUAUAUGGUGAACGCAGGUUAGUCAGAUCAUUAUUAUUACCAUGGGAGAUAAGUGGACAACGAUCGAGUUGAAGACCAUGGAUUGCACGGGGAAGUGGCGAUAGAUGUAAUUAUAUGUUAGUGUAGUUUUUGGUCUAUAACGAAGGAUGUAUUUAAGUUAAAGAAAGAUUGAUUUAAAUGAUUUAAGGCACAUUAGAACAACUAUAAAGGAAGAAAUUUUA